ACAUAGAAUAUUAUACAAUUACUGUCUUUUGAUGAGGUAAAUGUGUGGUUUUAUUGACUUUUGAAAAACUGAUAUUCACUGAGGCCAACAGUUUUUCAAAAGUCAAUAAAACCACAUAUUUACCGAAACAAAAGACAGUAAUUGUUUUAUUCCAUAUUCCGGUAGAAAUGUAUGUAAAGGAAAAUAUUUACCAAAAUCAAUUGUACAUCAAACUUUUUUUACCAAAAUUAUACACGUAAAAUCACGCGACGUUUUGCGCGGUGAAUACUCUUUUUCGCAGGUGAAUAUGCUUAUUUAUUCAAAAUCCAAUUCAUAUAGAAAAACCUACUAAAGUUUUAGCAAUAUGGAAUAAAUAUAU
rnacentral:lncRNA from 1 species